rnacentral:rRNA from 1 species
GACAGAGGGGGCAAGCGUUGCUCGGAAUUACUGGGCGUAAAGGGCGCGUAGGCGGCCUGUUAAGUCGAACGUGAAAUCCCCGGGCUCAACCCGGGAACUGCGUCCGAUACUGGCAGGCUUGAAUCCGGGAGAGGGAUGUGGAAUUCCAGGUGUAGCGGUGAAAUGCGUAGAUAUCUGGAGGAACACCGGUGGCGAAGGCGGCAUCCUGGACCGGUAUUGACGCUGAGGCGCGAAAGCCAGGGGAGCAAACGGG